AAGACGUACGGCUGCCAGAAAGAUGUCGAGCCACUCAAGGAAAACUGAAAUGAGCCACUCACAGGUUGUGAUGCUCUGUGAGCUGGUCUCGCAACACCUUGCCUUUACGAUUUGAAGAACCCUAAAUAUAGGGACACUUUGUUCAGAGACAGAAUUUGGGAAGAAAUUAGUGCACAGUUCAAACUGGCAGGACGUCUACUUCUACUUGGGUAUCCACGUCCAGGUUCAGAAGAAAAUACUAGAGCAAGAAAAUCGGAAUUCUUAUUUGAAUCCGCCGACCAGAGCUUGGGAAACAGCGACGACACCUGUCGCGUUGCGUCCUUGUCGCCGUCUGUCAGAGUGGGAAAAGAGGAGGGGGCAGCGUCGCAGUCGCAGCCAACUGUCGCGUCUUGGACAACGUAACUUAAGACUAUCCAGUGAGUUCUGUGUUUUUGUGAGGAGUUUGCCAGUUGACACAGUUACAGUGUGUUCUGUGAAAAGGACUGUUUGAAAUGUCUUCUGACUGGGGCCACAAGAGAGAAGUGUGCCAACUAUUUGCAUAUCCACAAAAAGAGUGGCAUACAAGACAAACAAAAAAACAGACUUUGUUCAGGUUGGGAAUAAGUGUUCUCAUUUGAAGCCUGUUUCAAAACGAACAUGUUUCAAGUGAUGACUUUUUGGGUUCUAAAUAUUUUGACAGAAUAACAACAAUGAUAGUAUCUGAACAUGGUGAAGCCUCCCAUGGUGCAGAUGACACAGAUUUUGCAUGUAUAGAGGAAGAAUUAAAUACCCUGAAUCAGUCAACUACAGAUGUAGGUGUCAGUCCUGUUAAGAAACCGUGGUCAGUGAAGUUGAGUCAUAAGCUCUAUUAUCAAGAAAGCACAGAUAAAUUACUAAAGUUAUGGAUGAAUAUGCUACAGCAAAACUGACCACACUCUUCAAAGUAGAAAUUCCAUCUUCAGAAGAUAAUGAACCAAAGCACUCUUGCCAGGAAUUUUUCACAAAUAUUAAUUCAGUUGUUGAAUACUGACCAUCCUACAGUGGGAAAGUGCAAGUUUCCAAAGAAAACAAUUUUGAACCACAUUCCAUCAGUAUCAAAGUACGUGGUAGACAAAUCAAGAAAUGUGAGUUCUGUAAAACAAGUCUUUGGAAGCCCAGAUAUCUAUUAUGGUCAUCCUGUAGAAGCACCUCAAGUUCAAAUCAGGAAGAUAAAUGGGACUGUUAUCGCCAGAGUGCCAACAAAAAAGACACUAUAACUGUAACAGUUGAAGAUCAAAAAGUUGUGAAAGUGAAGAGGGUACAUGACUCGCAGCAUUAAAGAAAAUUUUGCAAUUUAUAAGAGCAACUAUACAACUUCACAUAUAGGAAGAUCAAAAUUUUAUGCACUACAACCUAAGUGGGUAGUUCCACACCUACUUAGGGAUGUCUGUUUAUGUGUGUACUGUGUGCAAUUUUGAACUCUUGAAGAGCUUACAGGAGCACGUGACAUAGGACACAUUAGUUGGGCGUGUGAAGUCAUUAGUAGUCUGUGACAUAAAGCGAGAGACUUGUUUGUUUCAAGAAUGUGGAGACUGCCUUGGAAAGGAAAGACUGUCUUUACAGACACUUGGCCUGGAAGAAGUACCAGAUAACUCUGCAGAAAUUACAUAUGCGACAUGGGAGGAAAACAAACUAAUUAAGAAAACUGUUGCCUUUGACAGUUUCAUUGACAAAUUUGGUAAAUGCUCAGUGAACACCAGCAUCUGAAGAAAUUUCAACAACAUCACAUUGCAGAAGUCAAAGGGUGUGUACAGGCUGAACAACUAUGUUUAGUGAUUCACUGUGAUUUUACUGAGAACUGGUCCGUAAUCCUCCCACAUGAAGUACAAGGGUAUCAUUGGAGUAAUGACCAGGUUUCAAUUUUCAUAGGCGUGACAUAUUUUCAAAACAAGACCACAAGUGUUGCAGUUAUAAGUGAUGACACAUGAUAUUACUCAGCACAUGCUUUGCUAGCAACGCGCAAAAUUCUUCAACUGCAAACAGGGGCAGAGAAGAUCAUCAUUAUUUCUGGUAGUGCUCCUAGUCAUUUUAAAAACUGUUACUGUUUGAAUUGAGUAAGUUGCUUGUGCCAGCUGACUGGGUAUACAGUGCUACUAUUCAUGGGAAGGGGCCUUGUGAUGGUGUAGGAGGCCUGCUGAAGCACCAUGCUACAAAACAAUCUUUCCAGACGAAAUACAGCUGUGAUUGAGAAUGCUGAAGAUUUUACGAGAGUCGUGAAAUCUUACUCAUCCACAGCCCUCAUUCUCUUGUCCAAAGAGGAAAUCGAAGAAUUCUGUGAGCAGAUAAAAGAAGACUGGUCCAAACAAACUACUCCUGUGAAAGGAAUUCAGAAGACACAUUUUUGGACUCAAAGUGAUGUGUGAACUCAUAUUUACUUUAAAGAGCAAGAAAGAUGAAAUUUCAUUUGUUUGGCCAGCACCUCAGAAACAACAGGAUAAUAUUCAGAUUCACAAUCUGAGAAGGGGGAUGUUUGUGGCACGUGUGUAUGAGUGUGACUGGUGUAUUGCAGAGAUUAUAGACACAAGUUAUGAGUUAAACAAAACUGUAGUGAACUUUAUGCUACCACAUGGACCAGCUGCUGGACAUAGGUUUCCAGCUGAUGGACAGCAACAAUGGCAUCAGUGCUCACUUCCUGUUCACAAUGUUUUGAAGGGCUCCAGUUCCUAUUGGUAGUAAAGAAAGGCAUCACUUUACAUCAAAGGAAGAUACUGAAGCAGUGGAAUACAUUUUUAGUUCAUUGACUGGCUAAUUUGAGUACAAAACAGAGUGCACAGAAGUUGUAUAAAUUGAAACCUUUUAGUCUUUGGACCUUCCACAUACAGUUUGGAACCAUUUAAAAUGUUUGAAAAAUGAGACUCUUACUCAUCUUU